AACGUAGGAGACAAACGUUAUCCGGAGUUACUGGGCGUAAAGGGCGUGUAGGCGGUUAGUUAAGUCUGGCGUGAAAGCUCUCGGCUAAAACCGGGGAGAGGUCGCUCGGAUACUGGCGAAACUAGAGGACGGUAGAGGGCGUGUGGAAUUCCUGGUGUAGCGGUGAAAUGCGCAGAUAUCAGGAGGAACACCGGUGGCGAAGGCGGGUCUCUGGGCCGAUACUGACGCUGAGGAGCGAAAGCGUGGGGAGCGAACAGG
rnacentral:rRNA from 1 species